rnacentral:rRNA from 1 species
AGAACGAACGCUGGCGGCAGGCUUAACACAUGCAAGUCGAACGCUCGUAGCAAUACGGGAGUGGCAGACGGGUGAGUAACGCGUGGGAACAUACCUUUUGGUUCGGAACAACACAGGGAAACUUGUGCUAAUACCGGAUAAGCCCUUACGGGGAAAGAUUUAUCGCCGAAAGAUUGGCCCGCGUCUGAUUAGCUAGUUGGUGAGGUAACGGCUCACCAAGGCGACGAUCAGUAGCUGGUCUGAGAGGAUGAUCAGCCACAUUGGGACUGAGACACGGCCCAAACUCCUACGGGAGGCAGCAGUGGGGAAUAUUGGACAAUGGGCGCAAGCCUGAUCCAGCCAUGCCGCGUGAGUGAUGAAGGCCCUAGGGUUGUAAAGCUCUUUUGUGCGGGAAGAUAAUGACGGUACCGCAAGAAUAAGCCCCGGCUAACUUCGUGCCAGCAGCCGC